rnacentral:rRNA from 2 species
GUUUGAUCUCAAAUCAGGUAGG